UUCCUAUCGAUAGAUGGAAUGUUUGUGCAGUUAUAUGGCCUCAGUAACUCAACUAGUCAGAGUCUAGAUAUAGUUCUUGCCAAUGUAAUGCUCGGUGAUAGCAAUAAGUGGAACACUCCACCAUCACAUAAAAACUUAUCAAUAAAUUCAUCAUACCGCAUAAAAAGUUUCCAAUAUAAAUAUAAAGUAUUCUCUCCGUUUUUAAAUAGUGUCAUUUUGAUAUUU
rnacentral:lncRNA from 1 species